rnacentral:rRNA from 1 species
CAGCAGUCGCCACGGUAACACGAAGGGGGCUAGCGUUGCUCGGAAUGACUGGGCGUAAAGGGCGCGUAGGCGGCGAUCAAAGUCAGGCGUGAAAUUCCUGGGCUCAACCUGGGGGCCGCGCUUGAUACUUGGUUGCUUGAGUGGGGAAGAGGGUCAUGGAAUUCCCAGUGUAGAGGUGAAAUUCGUAGAUAUUGGGAAGAACACCGGUGGCGAAGGCGGCGACCUGGUCCUUGACUGACGCUGAGGCGCGAAAGCGUGGGGAGCAAACAGGAUUAGAUACCCGAGUAGUCCCUGUCUCUUAUAC